rnacentral:rRNA from 1 species
AUUGAACGCUGGCGGCAUGCCUUACACAUGCAAGUCGAACGGUAACAGGUCUUCGGAUGCUGACGAGUGGCGAACGGGUGAGUAAUACAUCGGAACGUGCCUAGUAGUGGGGGAUAACUACUCGAAAGAGUGGCUAAUACCGCAUGAGAUCUACGGAUGAAAGCAGGGAAUCGCAAGACCUUGUGCUACUAGAGCGGUCGAUGGCUGAUUAGGUAGUUGGUGGGAUAAAAGCUUACCAAGCCGACGAUCUGUAGCUGGUCUGAGAGGACGAUCAGCCACGCUGGGACUGAGACACGGCCCAGACUCCUACGGGAGGCAGCAGUGGGGAAUUUUGGACAAUGGGCGAAAGCCUGAUCCAGCAAUGCCGCGUGCAGGAUGAAGGCCUUCGGGUUGUAAACUGCUUUUGUACGGAACGAAAGCCCCGGGUUAAUACCCUGGGGUCAUGACGGUACCGUAAGAAUAAGCACCGGCUAACUACGUGCCAGCCGCCGCGGUAA